rnacentral:rRNA from 1 species
GGGAAGAAAAGGCUGUUGCUAAUAUCGACAGCUGAUGACGGUACCUGAAGAAUAAGCACCGGCUAACUACGUGCCAGCAGCCGCGGUAAUACGUAGGUCCCGAGCGUUGUCCGGAUUUAUUGGGCGUAAAGGGCUCGUAGGUGGUUGAUCGCGUCGGAAGUGUAAUCUUGGGGCUUAACCCUGAGCGUGCUUUCGAUACGGGUUGACUUGAGGAAGGUAGGGGAGAAUGGAAUUCCUGGUGGAGCGGUGGAAUGCGCAGAUAUCAGGAGGAACACCGAUGGCGAAGGCAGGUCUCUGGGCUGUUACUGACGCUGAGGAGCGAAAGCGUGGGGAGCGAACAGGCUUAGAUACCCUGGUAGUCCACGCUGUAAACGGUGGGUACUAGGUGUGGGGUCCAUUCCACGGGUUCCGUGCCGUAGCUAACGCUUUAAGUACCCCGCCUGGGGAGUACGGCCGCAAGGCUAAAACUC